GAUAAGCAAAAUUAUAAGUGAAUUAUACAGUUUACAAUAAAACCAUGCAAAUAUUGAAUAUGCUUAAAAUAGUUGAAAUAUAAUUAAUCACUUUAUGUAAAUAUGAAGAAUUCUCGACUUUGUAUCUACUGGCUUUUAUUUCUUCUGAUACAGGUUGUAGGCGCCUUUGCCUGUAAGCGUAAGUCCUCUUGUCGCCCGCCCCGCUGUCCUGGCGGCUGCAAGCCUAAAUACUGGUGAUGAGAAGUAUUUCAGUUGUGACAUAAGCUGACGGAAUUAUGGAGUGGUCACUCGCAUAUCAGUACGUAUGGUGGGUGGCGUGGUGCGUGGUGUGUCUGGUGGUGGGGGCGAGCAGUUGUAAGAAGAAGACAAUUUGCCGCCCACCGCCUGGAGGCAGACCGGGCUGCGGGGGCGGGCGGAGAUGAGUACGAUUCGCCAAUUCAUUAACUUUGUCCAAAACUCAAGAAAAGUAAAAAUUGAAAACGUCACAAAUAAAACAAAUUUAAUUUUUGUGGA